UACGGAGGGUGCAAACGUUGCUCGGAAUCAUUGGGCGUAAAGCGCACGUAGGUGGCCUGUUAAGUCGGGUGUGAAAUCCCUGGGCUCAACCCAGGAAGUGCACUCGAAACUGGCAGGCUUGAGUACUGAAGAGGGUCGCGGAAUUCCCGGUGUAGAGGUGAAAUUCGUAGAUAUCGGGAGGAACACCAGUGGCGAAGGUGGCGACCUGGGCAGAUACUGACACUGAGGUGCGAAAGCGUGGGGAGCAAACAGG
rnacentral:rRNA from 1 species